GACCCAGCACAUGUCACAGACCCGUGCACACCUCACAGACCCAGCACGUGUCACAGACCUGUGCACACCUCACAGAUCCAGCACACUCCAUAAGCACAUGCACAUAUCACAGACCCAGACCCAGCACGUCACAGACCCGUGCACACCUCACAGAUUCAGCACGUCACAGACCCAUGCACACCUCACAGACCCGUGCACACCUCACAGAUACAGUACACAUCACAGGCACGUGCACACCUCACAGACCCAUGCACACCUCACAGAUCCGUGCACACCUCACAGACCCAGCACAUGUCACAGACCCAGCACACUUCAUAGGCACGUGCACACAUCAUAGGCACGUGCACACCUCACAGACCUGUGCACACCUCACAGACCCAGCACAUAUCACAGGCACGCGCACACCUCACAGACCCGUGCACACCUCACAGACCCAGCACACCUCACAGACCCAUGCACACCUCACAGAUCCGUGCACACCUCACAGACCCAGCACACUUCACAGGCACGUGCACACCUCACAGACCCAUGCACAUCUCACAGAUCCGUGCACACCUCACAGACCCAGCACACUUCAUAGGCACAUGCACACCUCACAGACCCAUGCACACCUCACAGACCCAGCACACGUCACAGGCACGUGCACACCUCACAGACCCAGCGCACAUCACAGGCACGUGCACU
rnacentral:lncRNA from 1 species